UACGUAGGGUGCGAGCGUUUAAUCGGAAUUACUGGGCGUAAAGCGUGCGCAGGCGGUUUGCUAAGACCGAUGUGAAAUCCCCGGGCUUAACCUGGGAACUGCAUUGGUGACUGGCAAGCUAGAGUGUGGCAGAGGGGGGGUAGAAUUCCACGUGUAGCAGUGAAAUGCGUAGAGAUGUGGAGGAAUACCGAUGGCGAAGGCAGCCCCCUGGGUCAAGAUUGACGCUCAUGCACGAAAGCGUGGGGGAGCAAACAGG
rnacentral:rRNA from 1 species